GAUGAACGCUGGCGGCGUGCCUAAUACAUGCAAGUAGAACGCUGAAGGAAGGAGCUUGCUCUUUCCGGAUGAGUUGCGAACGGGUGAGUAACGCGUAGGUAACCUGCCUGGUAGCGGGGGAUAACUAUUGGAAACGAUAGCUAAUACCGCAUAACAGUAGAUGUUGCAUGAUAUCUACUUAAAAGGUGCAAUUGCACCACUACCAGAUGGACCUGCGUUGUAUUAGCUAGUUGGUGAGGUAACGGCUCACCAAGGCGACGAUACAUAGCCGACCUGAGAGGGUGAUCGGCCACACUGGGACUGAGACACGGCCCAGACUCCUACGGGAGGAAGCAGUAGGGAAUCUUCGGCAAUGGACGGAAGUCUGACCGAGCAACGCCGCGUGAGUGAAGAAGGUUUUCGGAUCGUAAAGCUCUGUUGUAAGAGAAGAACGAGUGUGAGAGUGGAAAGUUCACACUGUGACGGUAUCUUACCAGAAAGGGACGGCUAACUACGUG
rnacentral:rRNA from 1 species